rnacentral:rRNA from 1 species
UAAGUACACGCGGCCGGUACAGUGAAACUGCGAAUGGCUCAUUAAAUCAGUUAUGGUUCCUUUGAUCGCUCAUCCGUUACUUGGAUAACUGUGGCAAUUCUAGAGCUAAUACAUGCAAACGAGCGCUGACCCUCCGGGUAUGCGUGCAUUUAUCAGACCCAAAACCCAUGCGGGGCGUCCUCUCGGGGGCGCCCCGGCCGCUUUGGUGACUCUAGAUAACCUCGAGCCGAUCGCUGGCCCUCCGUGGCGGCGACGUCUCAUUCGAAUGUCUGCCCUAUCAACUUUCGAUGGUACUUUAUGUGCCUACCAUGGUGACCACGGGUAACGGGGAAUCAGGGUUCGAUUCCGGAGAGGGAGCCUGAGAAACGGCUACCACAUCCAAGGAAGGCAGCAGGCG